rnacentral:lncRNA from 1 species
AAAUGUCAGUUUCGUGGUUCCUGGGAUUCACCCGUAUUUUUACAUUGGGACUGAUGCCUUGAAUCACACGGAGCAGUACACAGAAGCUGCAGGAUCACAAGCGGCUCAGCUGUACACGCUGCGUACAGCCAAGGCUCUGGCAAUGACCGCACUGGACGUCAUCUUUAAGCCUGCAUUGCUCGAAGGAGUCAGGAAGGAGUUUAAAUGUAAACUUCAAGAAGAGCAGCUUUUAAAUACAGCAGCAUAGAAGGAAACCCUAGGGACUGGUCAGGAAAUGUUACGUUUUGUUUGUUUUUUACCUCUCAUGUUUUUCAGUGAAAGAGAGCAUGCUUGUUUUUCAGUCCUGGUAAGUGAGGACAGAUAUAGGGAAGAAGACACGAAUGCACGUCUAGAUUUAGUGGAGUUUGUGAUACUGCAGGCGUUGGUGCGUAACGCCAUCUAUUACGCCAGAUGAUACCUGAUCCUGUAACAUUCGGUAAUGUUUUGUAAGUGUAUCUGCUGUAUGGUGUUACAAGUCCCACGGGUUUCAGAAGGUGACACUCAUGAACUCUGUGGUUCAGAGUAGGGAAUGUCUUCUCGGCAGUUUAAAUCGAGGGGGAGACUUGUUUUAAGUCUAACUGUAUCUGUUUGGGUCUAAAGAAAAACUUGAAAUAAACAUAUGCUUGUGGGACACUCCUAGAAUCCCCAGUACAAAGAAUUAGCUCUACUUUUAACACUUAGAGAAGGGGCGAGGAGGAGUGGAGGGAAUGGUGGAAGAGGGAGAGGGAGAGAGAGAGAGAGAGAGAGAGAGAUCUUUACUUACAUGUAAUUACUCCAAGAAGUGGCAUAGGAACAGUGGGUAGUAACAGGAAAAAUGGCAGAAAGGCACAGUUGAGCCUUUCUAGCAGGGUAGGGUGUUGUGUGUUGUGUUACAGGAGUUGGCCGGAGUACAGACUAGGUGUGCUCUGUUCUCCAGUGUCCCACACGGUCCCCAGUCCCUAGCAGCCUCAGAAGAGCCCCAAAGCCCUGUGCUGGCCCAGUAGUAAUGUGAACCCAUGGCCUUGGAAAGGAGGCUCCGUAGCUCCUAAUGAGACUUAGUUAAGCUUCCUGCAGUUUCUCUGGACUUUCUUUUGUGCCUUGUCUGCUCGCUCCCUGGUUUGUGUCACCACAGCAUUUGUAGAGCCACAGGAGGGAGUUGUUUUUACAAGGAAGCCAGGAUUCGAGCUGGAAAUCUGAAACAUUUCAGUGGUUGUCAGUAAAAUCACUGUCAGUAAUGCCCUGGAAAGGAGCGAGUCACAUAAAAUCAGCAG